GUCGAGCGGCGGACGGGUGAGUAAUGCAUAGGAAUCUGCCCGGUAGUGGGGGAUAACUUGAGGAAACUCAAGCUAAUACCGCAUACGCCCUACGGGGGAAAGCAGGGGCUCUUCGGACCUUGCGCUAUCGGAUGAGCUUAUGUCGGAUUAGCUGGUUGGUGAGGUAACGGCUCACCAAGGCGACGAUCCGUAGCUGGUCUGAGAGGAUGAUCAGCCACAUCGGGACUGAGACACGGCCCGAACUCCUACGGGAGGCAGCAGUGGGGAAUAUUGGACAAUGGGGGCAACCCUGAUCCAGCCAUGCCGCGUGUGUGAAGAAGGCCCUCGGGUUGUAAAGCACUUUCAGCGAGGAAGAAUGCUUGUCGGUUAAUACCCGGCAAGGGAGACAUCACUCGCAGAAGAAGCACCGGCUAACUCCGUGCCAGCAGCCGCGGUAAUACGGAGGGUGCGAGCGUUAAUCGGAAUUACUGGGCGUAAAGCGUGCGUAGGCGGCUUGAUAAGCCGGUUGUGAAAGCCCCGGGCUCAACCUGGGAACGGCAUCCGGAACUGUUAGGCUAGAGUGCAGGAGAGGAAGGUAGAAUUCCCGGUGUAGCGGUGAAAUGCGUAGAGAUCGGGAGGAAUACCAGUGGCGAAGGCGGCCUUCUGGACUGACACUGACGCUGAGGUACGAAAGCGUGGGUAGCAAACAGGAUUAGAUACCCUGGUAGUCCACGCCGUAAACGAUGUCGACUAG
rnacentral:rRNA from 1 species